rnacentral:rRNA from 1 species
AUUGAACGCUGGCGGCAUGCCUUACACAUGCAAGUCGAACGGCAGCACGGGAGCAAUCCUGGUGGCGAGUGGCGAACGGGUGAGUAAUAUAUCGGAAUGUGCCCAGUCGUGGGGGAUAACGCAGCGAAAGCUGUGCUAAUACCGCACACGAUCUAUGGAUGAAAGCGGGGGAUCGCAAGACCUCGCGCGAUUGGAGUGGCCGAUAUCAGAUUAGGUAGUUGGUGGGGUAAAGGCUCACCAAGCCGACGAUCUGUAGCUGGUCUGAGAGGACGACCAGCCACACUGGAACUGAGACACGGUCCAGACUCCUACGGGAGGCGGCAGUGGGGAAGUUUGGACAAUGGGCGCAAGCCUGAUCCAGCAAUGCCGCGUGCAGGAUGAAGGCCUUCGGGUUGUAAAGCUCUUUCGGCGGGGAAGAAAUCGCACUGGAUAAUACCUAGUGUGGAUGACGGUACCCGAAUAAGAAGCACCGGCUAACUACGUGCCAGCCGCCGCCGUAAGAC